GACGAACGCUGGCGGCGUGCUUAACACAUGCAAGUCGAACGGAAAGGCCCUGCUUUUGUGGGGUGCUCGAGUGGCGAACGGGUGAGUAACACGUGAGUAACCUGCCCUUGACUUUGGGAUAACUUCAGGAAACUGGGGCUAAUACCGGAUAGGAGCUCCUGCUGCAUGGUGGGGGUUGGAAAGUUUCGGCGGUUGGGGAUGGACUCGCGGCUUAUCAGCUUGUUGGUGGGGUAGUGGCUUACCAAGGCUUUGACGGGUAGCCGGCCUGAGAGGGUGACCGGGGACAUUGGGGGAGGGAGACGGCCCAGAGUCCUCCGGGGGGGAGAGGUGUGGAGUAUAGCGCAAUAGGCGGAGGCCUGUGGUGGCGCAGCGGCGUGCGGGAUAACGGCGUUCGGGUUGUGUACCGCGUUCGCCUGUGAGAAGGCGUGAGUGACGGGGAUAGGUGAAGAAGCACCGGCUAACUACGUG
rnacentral:rRNA from 1 species